CAAAAAAACAUGGCGGGUUAUUCUACCAGACUGAAAUGGGAAAACACACUAGAGAACUGCUACCAGAGCAUUCUGGAGCUGGAGAAGGAAAGAAUUCAACUUUUAUGCAAUAACUUAAACCAGUACAGCCAACAUAUUUCUCUUUUUGGCCAAACCCUGACCACAUGCCACACGCAGAUUCACUGUGCCAUCAGCAAGAUUGACAUUGAAAAAGAUAUCCAGGCUCUAAUGGAAGAAACUGCAAUUUUAUCUACAGAAAACAAAUCUGAGUUCCUGUUAACAGAUUACUUUGAAGAAGAUCCUAACAGUGCAAUGGAUAAAGAGAGACGAAAGUCUUUACUAAAACCGAAAUUAUUGAGACUGCAGAGAGACAUUGAAAAAGCCUCAAAAGACAAGGAAGGUGUGUAACUCUCUCUUUGAAUGGCCAGAAAAGGGACCAUAUGAUGCUCAGAGGUUUCAUUCAGAGUUAGGAUUAAUCUGCUUUUGCUAUUUGGCAGGGGUCUUCUCAUUUAAAGAACCAUAUAUCAAACUUAAGUUGUGUGAACAAAAAAAAAAAA
rnacentral:sRNA from 1 species